AGGCAAAUCCGCUUUGAUAAUGCUGGGAUGUGAUGGGGAGCGAAAUUUAGUAGCGAAGUAGCUGAUUUCACACUGUCAAGAAAAGUCUCUAUCGAGGUUAAAGGUACCCGUACCGCAAACCGACACAGGUGGGUGAGGAGAGUAUCCUAAGGCCAGCGAGAGAACUGUUGUUAAGGAACUCGGCAAAAUGACCCCGUAACUUAGGGAUAAGGGGUGCCACCAUCCGGUGGCCGCAGAGAAUAGGCCCAAGCGACUGUUUACCAAAAACAUAGGUUUCUGCUAAGUCGCAAGACGAUGUAUAGGAGCUGACGCCUGCCCGGUGCUGGAAGGUUAAGGGGAUCUGUUAGAGCAAUCGAAGCAGUGAACUUAAGCCCCAGUAAACGGCGGCCGUAACUAUAACGGUCCUAAGGUAGCGAAAUUCCUUGUCGGGUAAGUUCCGACCCGCACGAAAGGCGUAACGAUUUGGGCACUGUCUCAACAACAGACUCGGUGAAAUUGUAAUUCCGGUGAAGAUGCCGGAUACCUGCGACAGGACGGAAAGACCCCAUGGAGCUUUACUGUAGCUUGACAUUGGGUCUUGGUACUACAUGUACAGGAUAGGUGGGAGGCUUUGAAACCAGGACGCCAGUUUUGGCGGAGCCAUCCUUGGGAUACCACCCUUGUAGUACUGGGACUCUAACCAUAGGCCAUGAAUCUGGUCUUGGGACACUGUCAGGUGGGCAGUUUGACUGGGGCGGUCGCCUCCCAAAAGG
rnacentral:rRNA from 1 species